AACGAACGCUGGCGGCAUGCUUAACACAUGCAAGUCGAACGAGACCUCCCUGUCUAGUUGCGCACCUCUGCGUACGGCCUGGUAACCUGCCCUUAGGUUCCCAAUAACUGCCUGUAAGGGGUCCUAAUACCGGUUAAUGUCUUCGGACCUAAGAUUUAUCGCCUUUGGUUGGGCCCGCGUUGGUUUAGCCUGUUGGGAGGGUAAAAGCCUACUAAGGCGACGAUCCAUAGCUGGUCUGAGAGGAUGAUCAGCCACACUGGGACUGGGACACGGCCCAGACUCCUACGAGAGGCAGCAGUGGGGAAUAUUGGACAGUGGGCGAGAGCCUGAUCCAGCAAUGGCGCGUGAGUGAUGAAGGCCUUAGGGUUGUAAAGCUCUUUUACCCGGGAUGGUAAUGACAGAACCGGGAGAAUAGAAUCCGGCAAACUCCGG
rnacentral:rRNA from 1 species